AAAAAAUUAGUUAAUAUUAUAACAUUAAAAUGUCAUUUUAAAAUUAUUCCAUAAAUAUUUUUUA
rnacentral:tRNA from 1 species